AGCGAACGCUGGCGGCAGGCUUAACACAUGCAAGUCGAACGCCAUCUUCGGAUGGAGUGGCAGACGGGUGAGUAACGCGUGGAAACAUACCUUUUGCUUCGGAAUAUUCCCGGGAAACUGGGAGCAAUACCGAAUACGCCCUGAGGGGGAAAGAUUUAUCGGCAAAAGAUUGGUCCGCGUUAGAUUAGGUAGUUGGUAGGGUAAUGGCCUACCAAGCCUACGAUCUAUAGCUGGUCUGAGAGGAUGAUCAGCCACAUUGGGACUGAGACACGGCCCAAACUCCUACGGGAGGCAGCAGUGGGGAAUAUUGGACAAUGGGCGAAAGCCUGAUCCAGCCAUGCCGCGUGAAUGAUGAAGGCCUUAGGGUUGUAAAAUUCUUUCACCGGGGACGAUAAUGACGGUACCCGGAGAAGAAGCCCCGGCUAACUUCGUGCCAGCCGCCGCGGUAA
rnacentral:rRNA from 1 species